rnacentral:rRNA from 1 species
UAAGGAAUAUUGGUCAAUGGACGCAAGUCUGAACCAGCCAUGCCGCGUGGAGGAUGAAGGUCCUCUGGAUUGUAAACUUCUUUUAUCUGGGAAGAAAUCCACGAAUUCUUUUGUGGUUGACGGUACCAGAUGAAUAAGCACCGGCUAACUCCGUGCCAGCAGCCGCGGUAAUACGGAGGGUGCAAGCGUUAUCCGGAUUCACUGGGUUUAAAGGGUGCGUAGGUGGGCAGGUAAGUCAGUGGUGAAAUCUCCGGGCUUAACUCGGAAACUGCCAUUGAUACUAUCUUUCUUGAAUACCGUGGAGGUCAGCGGAAUAUGUCAUGUAGCGGUGAAAUGCUUAGAUAUGACAUAGAACACCAAUUGCGAAGGCAGCUGGCUACACGAAUAUUGACACUGAUGCACGAAAGCGUGGGGAUCAAACA